UCGCAGGUUCGAAUCCUGCACGACCCACCAAUUUUAAUAUCUUACUCAGAUAUUAAACGUGAAGGAUAACGUUGCUUUAGCAACGGCCCGAAGGGCGAGGCGAAGCCGAGUCAUCCUGCACGACCCACCA
rnacentral:sRNA from 1 species